GUCCACUCAUUAGCCACGAGCAACGUAGAGACACACAACAAUGUAAGUCAUAUUUCAGAUUUUAUAAUAUAAUAAAUGCACUUGAUUUUGACUACAACUGAACAAAAGCAAAUGCAUAUAUUUUGAAAUAAUAUCAAAUUAUCUUAAUUAAAAUAUACUAGAUAUUUUUUUGAACCUCAGAGUAUAUCUUUAUCUGCAUUCAUUGAAAUAUAAUUACAUUUGACCUCUUUUCAACAGAUGAUACAUUCACUGAAUUCACUGACUCUACUAAUGAGCUUAGAUUUAUUAUGCUCGGCGGUGAUGAAGACCUUAUGGAUGAUGCAUGUCACAUCAUUCUUAGAGAAAGAGCUGAAAGAACUGAAAUACGGCACAGAAAAGGUCAUGUGUUUGGCAGAAAGAUCUGUGUGGUGAAAACACCUUCCACCAGCAUGAGUCAUGAGGCAUCACACUGUUGCUUUAAAUCAAGAGAAAAAUCUAUGAAAGAUGAGAUGGUAGAUUGUGCAUCUCUGGUCUUUCCUGGACCUCAUGCAUUUCUAUUAGUGGUCAACAACAGGAAAGUGACUGAGAAGGAGUAUAAUAUUUAAAAAGAAAUUGCCAACGUGUUUGGCGAAGAAGCCUUAGACUAUGCGAUGGCUUUGAUCAUUGGAAGACCUGAACCGAAAGGAAUCAAUAGUGUCAGGAAGCAUGUAAAUAGGUGUUAUACAUUAGAGGACAAUGAGCAAAGUGUUCAGGGUCUAUUCAGAGAAACUGAAAGAAUGACACAAAACAAGAAAUCCACAUUUUUUAUUCAGUCAUCAUAUGAAAAACUCAUGAAAAAGACAUUUUUAUCAUGGGAAAAGGAAAAACAUGCAGAAAUGAGAAAAGAAAACGAGAGACUUCGAAAGGAGAAAGAAGAACAGCACUCCAAAAAAGUGAAUGAAUUAAAAGAAGAGUUCAGAAUUACUGAAAACAAACUAAGAAAAGACAUAGCAGAAAAAGAAGAUCAGCAUGCACAGGACGUGGCUAAAAUAGUAGAAACUGAGUGUAACCAAAAGAGAGACAUAGAGACUUUGAAAUGUUUCAUGAUUGAUCAUUUUAUACACAUAACCAGUCAGCAUGCGGUGCAACCGGUCAUUUCAAGUUCCCAUGAGAAUCCACUGAUUAAAAAAUUAGAGGCAGACGGUGAGAAAAACCCGAGAAAUAUAUUUUCUUCAAUUAUUGAUGAUCUGGUAGAGAAGUUAAAGACUUCUAAAGAGGGUGAGAGAUACUUGAUUGAAACUUUUCUUCAGCGCGAGAAUGAACAGAAAAAUAAAAUUGAAGAACUCCAAGAAGAAGUUGAGCAACUCAAAGCAAAGAAAAGUGAGCUAGAAAAGAAACUGAUGGAAGCAAAUGAAGGAGAAACAUGGGCUAAUAAACAGGUGGAGGUAACACUAGAUAGAAAUCUGCCUACAGAUUUGGACAAACUUCAAGGGGAUCUGGAUAGACAAGACAUACAAGAUGAGCAUAAAGUGAAAUCACAGCAUGUAAUCAGUGGAUCAGGACAUGAGCGACUCAGCAGCAUGGAGUCAACUUCACCUGUCUUAUCUGAAGAAAAUAAAGACAGACCUCUAGAUGAAACAGUGGGAGAAAUAAAGAGCAGAAAGGAAGAUUCACAAGCCAGUGAAUCACACAAUUCUGGAGGCUUCAAACUUGUGCGACGGAAAAGUAUUAACAAGCCACCCGAUAGUAAGUAUACAGUACAUCAAUUCAAGCAUCAUCCUAAACACUACAGCACAAGAUGUGUUAUGCUUUGCUAUGUUUUCUGUCUCCUACAGUGUCUAAAGAUCAUAGUGGAAAUAAAGAUUCACAAGCCAGCAGAUCAAGAGUGGAGGAUUGUUAAACCUGUUUCUUUCACAUUAAAUUUCAAUAAGACAUGGCACCUAAAAUUAUCUCUGUGCUUCUGUUUUUAGUGACUGGAAGUGAACACGGACCUCUACAUGCUCUCUGAAGAUUGUGAUUACAAAGAGGUAAAUUUAAGGCUUUCACACUUUUCCAGUGAAGUUCAUCUCAUCAAUAUUCAUCAGUCUGCUGUUAUGUCGUCAGGAAAAGACCAAUGAAAACAAUUAUUACACAAAAAGCAAAGUGGCAGAUCCUCUUUGAGUGUGAAACAGCCAACAAAACAAGUAUAACAUUUUGCCAUGAUGGACAAUAUCUUGGAUUAGACUGUGGAUUAUGGGCAACUGAACACCAAAUAAUUUAAAGAUAGUGUCAGUGCAUGAAAAAAGAAAUAAAAUAUACAGGAACCAAAAAAGCA
ensembl:lncRNA